AAUGGGCGCAAGCCUGAUCCAGCCAUGCCGCGUGAGUGAAGAAGGCCUUCGGGUUGUAAAGCUCUUUUGUCCGGAAAGAAAAACCUUGGGUUAAUACCCUGAGGUUCUGACGGUACCGGAAGAAUAAGCACCGGCUAACUUCGUGCCAGCAGCCGCGGUAAUACGAAGGGUGCAAGCGUUACUCGGAAUUACUGGGCGUAAAGCGUGCGUAGGUGGUUUGUUAAGUCUGAUGUGAAAGCCCUGGGCUCAACCUGGGAAUUGCAUUGGAUACUGGCAGGCUAGAGUGCGGUAGAGGGUAGUGGAAUUCCCGGUGUAGCAGUGAAAUGCGUAGAGAUCGGGAGGAACAUCUGUGGCGAAGGCGACUACCUGGACCAGCACUGACACUGAGGCACGAAAGCGUGGGGAGCAAA
rnacentral:rRNA from 1 species